GUACAGUGUUUUACAGUUGUCUUUUUUUUUUUUUUUGAGAGGGUGAGCAAGUGCACCUGCAAGCGAACGAGGGGAGAGAGGGAGGGGAGGGGAGGGAAGGGGAGAGAGAAGCGGGGCUGGAGCUCACGAAUUGUGAGAUCACGACCUGAGCUGAGGUGGAAUGCCUAAGGACCAAGCCCCCCAGGCGCUGGCACUUUACAGUGUCACUAAUGCCCCCCCACCCCCCGCCGCCAUCUUCACGGAUCCGUUGGAACCGACGUACAGUCCCCAAAGGGGAAAACACAGGCUCGGCGAGGUCACGAGAGUUAAGUGGCAGAAUCAUCUGUUUCACAACUGUUUACUGGACAUCACAGGGGUGAGGGCCUCGGCCUAACCCCGACUCCUGUGGCGAUCGAGGACGGGACGGCUCACCGGGGAGGCGGACAUGGGGACACGGGCACAGGCGCACCUCACAGUUCCAUUUAUUCACGCCACAAAGGAAACAACACGUCUACACGCGUACGGCGGUGCUCCACGCCCCCAUCUAACAGAGCUGCUGGGAUUUACAGCCACAAGGUCGGUCUCACGUGUGCUCCGAGGAAAGCUGGCUAAUGGUGACCGUGAGCGGGGGCAGGACUCGAAGCUUUUAAAAGAGAAGCACAGUGUAACUGUAAGUGAGGAAGAAAGGGACACACAGAAGAUGGUCUAUUCUGUACCUUACUGACAAGUCUGUAAAUGACAGUUUUCAACACUAUGGACAAGUCUGGAGGGUCACUUCUACACGGAGCGUCUGACACGUUUACGGGUUCGUGUAAUCAGUUCGUGCACACGGCACAAAACUGUGGCACAGGACAGAGGGGCAGGAAGUCUCUUCUCCCCAGAGGUCACGAGCCAGCCCUGGGUUUGUGAGGACUCACAUGACUGGUUUCACUGUCAUUUGGGAAAUAGAGUGAAAUGUCUGACACUUGGGCAUAAACUUACAUGAUGCUUUCUUUCAAAACACACCUCACAGGGCAGCGAGCUCGCACAGCUAACCUGUGCUUCCCUGCUGGCGGCACUGGCCACCUCUGGCUUUCCAUUACCCCCACAAGUCUUACUUGGUCCAAGGGGGUGAGCAAUGGUUUUUAACACUCCGACUAUAAGAGGAACUUCACGUUUCAACGUGAUCCCCCUGCACCUUAUGUACUGAUAAGCACACACCACAGAACAGAUAUGCCUUGAUCUGAAAAGGCACGAUGGGGUUUUUAAUUCCCCAUCCAUUUUAAGAAGCAAAAAUCUUACCUUUCGAAGCUUUACUUCUUUUAUCUGAAAUAAAAAGAAAGAAAAAUUGGUCGUA